GAUGAACGCUGGCGGCGUGCCUAAUACAUGCAAGUCGAGCGAACGGACGAGAAGCUUGCUUCUCUGAUGUUAGCGGCGGACGGGUGAGUAACACGUGGAUAACCUACCUAUAAGACUGGGAUAACUUCGGGAAACCGUAGCUAAUACCGGAUAAUAUUUUGAACCGCAUGGUUCAAAAGUGAAAGACGGUCUUGCUGUCACUUAUAGAUGGAUCCGCGCUGCAUUAUCUAGUUGGUAAGGUAACGGCUUACCAAGGCAACGAUGCAUAGCCGACCUGAGAGGGUGAUCGGCCACACUGGAACUGAGACACGGUCCAGACUCCUACGGGAGGCAGCAGAAGGAAAUCUUCCGCAAUGGGCGAAAGCCUGACGGAGCAACGCCGCGUGAGUGAUGAAGGUCUUCGGAUCGUAAAACUCUGUUAUUAGGGAAGAACAUAUGUGUAAGUAACUGUGCACAUCUUGACGGUACCUAAUCAGAAAGCCACGGCUAACUACGUG
rnacentral:rRNA from 1 species